CUUCCAUCACAUCGACUCCGCCAUCACAUGGACUUUCAGAAACCACCUGAAACCACCACCCCUCUGCCUCUGCCUCUUCUUAGGAGAAGGAGGGUGUGUGCCUGGAGGACUCUACCACCCACUGGUACAUCCAGUGCUUCCUGGAUGGGGUGCCGUUCCCCCUGGUUCUGAGGAUGUGGGACAUCUAUAUCCUUGAGGGCGAGCAUGUGCUCACCACCAUGGCAUACACGGCCCUCAAGAUCCAUCACAGUGAGUCCUCAGGGCCCACAGAGGCCCGGGUGCUGGGGACGGAGGAGCUGGGGGUCCCCCUUCCUGCCCCUCAUGAGUAGGGCUUGAGGGAGGGAUGAGGGGGUUUGGGGUCCUGGGUUCCCUUCAGGAGGGCACUGAGAAUCCUCUGUUGCACCCCCAAUCCCAGGCCCCCACAGACCACAAGGAGAAGUGGCCAAGGUCAUCACACAGGAAAUUGGUCCCUAAGCAGUCCCUCCAGUGCUUGGCUUGACACCCAAGGGUGUCCAAGGGUGUCUGCAGCCCAUGUCUGGAGCUGGGACAGGGCUUGGAGCAGCCAUGGUGGCUGCGCCAUCCCUAGGGUCACUCCUAGCCUGACUCCCACCCCCAUGUCUAGAGCGCCUGCUGAAGAUGUCCAGGGACCACCUCCGGGAGUUCCUGCAGGUGACCCUGAAGCAGGCCUGGUAACUGAGCAAGGAUGUGGUCAUCAGGCAGCUGCGGGCCUCCAUGCGUGAGCUGGGGAAGCUCCAGUGCCUCCUGCCUCCCGAAGCCAAGGCCAUCGAACGGUGCGGCAGGCCCCUGGGGCAGGCACGCGUCCCCCAGAAGCACGUUCCUGCCCCCACUGCCACGAAGGCCAAGAUCGCCAUUCAGGACACAGUGGCAGUGUGGGAGCAGACCAGGGGUCCCGCUGCCCGGGCAGUGAUGAUCCAUCCUCCAGAAAGCUUUGGCCUCCGCAUCGCCGUGAGGGAAGGCAUGGAGGAGGAGGAGAGCUGCGAAGGCAGCCCAGAGCCCCUCUGCCUGGGCUCCCCUGUGGGGACCGCAGAGUCUCCACAUGUGGCCAGCCCCACAGAGACUCCAGAGAGCUCGUGGGGGAGGGGAGGGCUGUGCCAGUGUGCUAAUCUCCCUAAUCUGACGGGCCAGGGCACAGGGAGGACGACUUCUGAUGCUGGCACCAGGAGGGCCUGUGGAUGUGGGCUCCUCCACAAGCCUCGGAGCCCCCAGAACCAGGGCCCAUGCAGGCCACCCCAGCCUGGGGGCCACGGCUGAAGACUCCCCCCUACUGGCAUGGCAGCCCCACGCACUCUGGGGACAGUCAUGGGCUGGAGCUGGCCACCUGGGCUGGGAGACCAGGCCCGUGUGCUCUCCCUGGCCUGAGGCCUCCUUACCUCCUACUCCAUGGGGCACCUGGAUGAUGGGUGCCUCCUAGAAGAGGGGACGAGCCCACCACGUGUCCUGCCCAGCCUGGGCAGCAGCCUUCCAUGUAUCUUCAUGGCAUUCUAUACACUUGAUUGAGCCCCGACCCCCAGGCUCUUCCUGGGGCCAGGACACCCCAUCUCUGGAAGACAGCAGCAGUACCAGGAUCCACUGUACUACCUUCCCCCCACCCCCGCCACCCUCAGGUGCUGCUGACCCUGUAUUACAUGGUUAUACUG